rfam:Bursaphelenchus xylophilus, Ka4C1 (inbred line), WGS project CADV01000000 data, contig: scaffold00460.56
GUCGGCUUUGGCGACUUGGUGCCGACAAGUCCCCAAGGGAAGGUGGUUGGGUCCUGUUGCGCUUUGAUUGGUGUCCUCACUCUUGCUCUCCCAGUACCAAUCAUUGUAAGUAAA